AUACGUAGGGGGCAAGCGUUGUCCGGAAUUACUGGGCGUAAAGAUCUCGUAGGCGGCUCAGCAAGUCGGUCGUGAAAGCCCGAGGCUCAACCUCGGAACUGCGGUCGAUACUGCUGUGGCUAGAGUCCGGUAGAGGAGAGUGGAAUUCCCGGUGUAGCGGUUGAAUGCGCAGAUAUCGGGAGGAACACCAGUGGCGAAGGCGGCUCUCUGGGCCGGUACUGACGCUGAGGAGCGAAAGCGUGGGGAGCAAACAGGAUUAGAAGCCCUAGUAGUCC
rnacentral:rRNA from 1 species